UACAGAGACCUCAAGCAUUAUCCGGAUUUAUUGGGCGUAAAGGGUCCGCAGGCGGCAUGGUAAGUUGUGGGUCAAAUCUCUGGGCUCAACCCAGAUUCUGCCCGCAAUACUGCCAAGCUAGAGACUGGGAGAGGUAAGCAGAAUUGCCGGUGUAGCGGUAAAAUGCGUUAAUAUCGGCAAGAAUACCAAAGGCGAAGGCAGCUUACUGGAACAGUUCUGGCGCUCAGGGACGAAAGCACGGGGAGCGAAGCGG
rnacentral:rRNA from 1 species